rnacentral:rRNA from 1 species
AACCUGGCGGCGUGCUUACCAUGCAAGUCAAGGGGGCCCGCAAGGGCAACCGGCGAACGGGUGCGUAACACGUGAGCAACCUACCGAAAUCUGGGGGAUAGCCGGCCCAACGGCCGGGUAAUACCGCAUACGCUCUUUCCACGGCAUUGUGGAUUGAGGAAACCUCCGGGGGAUUUCGAGGGGCUCGCGGCCUAUCAGCUAGUUGGCGAGGUCACGGCUCACCAAGGCGACGACGGGUAGCUGGUCUGAGAGGAUGGCCAGCCACAUUGGGACUGAGAAACGGCCCAGACUCCUACGGGAGGCAGCAGUGGGGAAUCUUGCGCAAUGGCCGAAAGGCUGACGCAGCGACGCCGCGUGUGGGAGGAAGCCUUUCGGGGUGUAAACCACUGUUGCCCGGGACGAACAGCUCCUUAGUGGAGCCUGACGGUACCGGGUGAGGAAGCACCGGCUAACUCCGUGCCAGCAGCCGCGGUAAU